GUGGCGGCUGAAGGGACGCGCCGCUCCCGCCGUUACCGUGGGCUCCGACGGCGGCCGCGACGCCGGUCCCGCUGCCCCGCGCGGCCGCUGCCCGGCGCUGGCAGCCGGAGGUGACGCGCUCCCGGGGCGGGGCCCAGUGACGCACCGGGGGCACCGACGGCAGAGGCAGGACCGGUGGGAUCAGCGUGAUCGGCAUGGGGAAGCAGAAGAAGGCGCGGAAGUACGCGGUGAUGAAGCGCAUGAUCAGCCUCCGGGAUGAGCGCAUUAAAGAGAAGGACCGGGCGAAAGCCCCCGUGAAGAAGAAAGAGGACCCGAGCGCCAUCAAAGAGCGGGAGGUGCCCCAGCAUCCCUCUUGCUUGUUCUUCCAGUAUAAUACACAGCUGGGCCCCCCUUACCACAUCCUGGUUGACACUAACUUCAUCAACUUCUCCAUCAAGGCCAAGCUGGACCUAGUGCAGUCAAUGAUGGACUGUCUCUAUGCCAAGUGUAUUCCAUGUAUCACAGACUGUGUAAUGGGUGAAAUUGAAAAGUUAGGACAGAAGUACCGUGUGGCGUUAAGAAUUGCCAAGGACCCUCGGUUUGAACGCUUGCCAUGUAUGCACAAAGGAACCUACGCAGAUGACUGCUUGGUACAGAGGGUCACUCAGCACAAAUGUUACAUUGUGGCCACCGUAGAUAAAGAGCUCAAGCGGAGAAUACGAAAAAUCCCUGGAGUGCCUAUAAUGUAUAUUUCCAGGCACAGGUACAACAUUGAAAGGAUGCCAGAUGAUUAUGGAGCUCCUCGAUUCUAACCUGUCCAGCCAAGCCAUCGAUGCCAGGACUCUGAGCCAGGAUAAGGGUCCUUCUGAUUCCAAACCUCCUGCUUUCUCUUUUACUCAUAGGACCAUGGGUGACACUGAACUGACUUCUUAGCCUUGAUUUUCUAAGAAGAAGUAAAAGGAGGAGGAACCUGGAAUACACAUAAGGCAAUUGCUAAAGAUGUGUUAGAAGGUUUGGAGGUUGAGCAGCAAGGAGAAAGUAUUGGCAGUGAACAAACCCAUCAGGAAAUUUUCUUUAACUGAAUAUAAUUGGCAAGAUGAAAAACUUAAGCAUUAACUCAAAGAACCUUGUCAGAACAUAAACAGGAUAGGAAAGGACCACCUGAAUGAUCAACUGCUUGUCCUGCAGUGCCAGGGAACCCGUGUACCAAACACUUAGUUCAGAGGAAAAUAUUUAUUCCAUGCAUAUAAUGGCAUCCCAACAGCAUAUCAAAGGAGGAAAGAUCCUUGUCACAGGAAAGAGUUCGAUAAUCUAGAAUACUUUGAUAUUCCCACAAAGGCAGAACUGCCAGUCCAAACCAGAGAAGUUCCUUCCUGACCCAACUCUGGCAGUUGGUUUAAACCUGCACAGGAGUUAAAUAUCAAACAGAUGCUUGCAGUGUUUCUCAGUAACUAGAGAAUUCAGCCUCCCCACUAACAUCCUGUCUCUUGCUGUAGCCAGUUCCCACAGCUUCAGAAGACAGAGAACAACCAGGGCAGCCAUGUAAAGAAGGUCUGGAUUCAUGCAAAGAAUGGGAGAAAAUAAUUUCCACUCCUUUCUGAAGCUACCAGAAGGCCUAAGAUUACUGCAGCCUUACCACCAGAUGAAGUGAAGAAAUUUAAGCUGUUUAUCCAAGAUGUGACACAGGGUGAUUGAGGGAUAACUGAGAGGUAGCAUAAUAGCAUUUAGAAGCAGGAAGAACAUGAGCUUAAAGAAAAAGAACUAAAACCAACACGAUGACAGCCACUAAUGUAACAGACUGAAUAGAAUAAAAGAAUAAAAAUAAAAUAUUCUGAAUAAAAAAAUAAGAAGGCAUAAUGUGAACUUAGCAGGGUUGCUUUAGGGCAAGGUAACAUUGGGUAAAGCCAGUGUCUCGUUUGGUGGAAGUCAACUCUACUGCUGUCCAAACCAGAAUUGAAUACUGAAAAGGCAUCUGUCAAGUUAUUUGAAAGUUACAGUUUGACCUCCUCGAUGUAGGCUGGAAAACAGUUGCCCCUGAAAGUGGUUAAGUACGUGUAUUCCUUCAUAAGGGAAGUAACAAGUCUCUUGACAAUAUUGAGUAACCACAACAAAGAGCAAGAAUACUGGGAGAGACCUGCCUGCAGGAAAUAACCAUGAGUAAACUGAUCACAAGAGACUUCACUUUGAGUGAAUAGAUCAGGAGGCUAAAUUACAGGAUGUUUGCAAUAGGAAUUCCCUAUUUGGGGAGGACAGACUUUCUAAAGCUUAGUGAGUAAACUGGCCCAUAGAGCUAAUGGAUAUAAAUGCUAAGUACCUGUACAGUGAAGAGGAGAUAGAAGCUAAAAGUACAAAUGCUAUCUGAAGUCCUAUUCACUGCAGGAGAAAUCUAGACAAAUCAUCCUAAACAGAAAAGGAUCAAUAAUCACCUCCAGAUGAAAAGCAAGGAUACCAAAGAAUAGAAAAGACAGUUCUAUGUGUGUUAAAUGAAAACAGUUUUCUUAAAGAUUUGCAUCUCAUAGCUUGAGUUCACAGUCAAAGCUUUUCUUGUAGAUUAAUGGUAUUAAUGUAUCACGUCUGUGGAUUCCCUGGAAUUUAACAACAAAUGAACACAAAGUCUAGCUUUUCUACCAGAGAGAACAAAGCUUUUCCUCUACCUAACA